rnacentral:rRNA from 1 species
UACGUAGGGUGCAAGCGUUGUCCGGAAUUAUUGGGCGUAAAGAGCUCGUAGGCGGUUUGUCGCGUCUGCUGUGAAAACCCGAGGCUCAACCUCGGGCCUGCAGUGGGUACGGGCAGACUAGAGUGCGGUAGGGGAGAUUGGAAUUCCUGGUGUAGCGGUGGAAUGCGCAGAUAUCAGGAGGAACACCAAUGGCGAAGGCAGAUCUCUGGGCCGAUACUGACGCUGGAGGAGCGAAAGCGUGGGGAGCGAACAGG